AUUGAACGCUGGCGGGAUGCUUAACACAUGCAAGUCGAACGGCAGCGCGGACUUCGGUCUGGCGGCGAGUGGCGAACGGGUGAGUAAUGUAUCGGAACGUCCCCAGUAGCGGGUGAUAACUACGUGAAAGCGGAGCUAAUACCGCAUACGCCCAUCGGGGGAAAGCGGGGGAUCGUGAGACCUUUCACUCUUGCGGGGGUGGAUAUCGGAUUAGCUAGUUGGUGAGUUGACGGCUCACCAAGGCGCCGAUCCGUAGCUGGUUUGCGAGGAAGAUCAGCCACACUGGAACUGAGACACGGUCCAGACUCCUACGGGAGGCAGCAGUGGGGAAUGGUGGACAAUGGGGGCAAGCCUGAUCCAGCCAUCCCGAGUGUGAGACGAAGGCCUUCGGGUUGUAAAGCCCUUUUGGCGGGAAAGAAACGCAGCAGGCUAAGACCCCGCGGGACUGACGGUACCGGGAGAAUAAGCACCGGCUAACUACGUG
rnacentral:rRNA from 1 species